rnacentral:tRNA from 2 species
GGGGCCGUAGUUUAGCUUGGUAGAACGCAGGGCUUGGGCCCCUGUGGUCCGGGGUUCAAAUCCCCGCGGCCCCACCA